CUCAGGCGAGCGAGCUGGGCUUCCCUUCCUCCCGGCGCUCGGGGCUGCCUGGCGCGACCGGGCUUCCUGCUUUUGUUCUUUCUGUGCCCUCAGAGCAGCGGGCGGCGAGGUGACAUUGACGCUUGGAACACCCCACAACCCCCGCCCUGCAUAACCUUAAAAGAUUAAAACAAAAAAAAUGUUAAAGCUUUCUCAAUAAGAGGACGGUGUUUUCCUUUCUUUGCCGUCGACCGUAGCAAUAAGCAGGACCAUUUUCCCUUCUAUUCCUGUUUGCUUCAAGGAAAGCUAAAAAUGGCCUGAAAACUGUUUUCAUUGAACUACCGAAUCAAUGGUAUAUGUAAAAAUAAGUCACUAUCAUCAAGCAUUAGCAGGAAAAGCUUUAUAAGUGAUAAUCAGCACCUUGAAUUCCAUUGAGAAGCCUAUUAGGAGCCAGUGCAAUUAGCAGACUAGAGACAGAAAGUUAUUUGGUGGGUUGCUAAGUAUCAAUUUGGAAGUCUCUUAUCUGCUGACAGCUGCACUCUCUAGAUGUCAAGGAAUAGUACUUGCUUAAAGAAGAAAAAAUGAUGACAUAAUGUACAUAAUGGCAUGGGUCCAGGUUACAUGAGGAACUGUCUCACCCAGGAAGUCUUAAUGACUGUUGGCCCACUCCACCUCCGCCAGCAGAGAGGGCAUAUGUGGAUCCCAUUGAUCAAGAAAUUGUGACUGGCAGUGUCUAGGAGAAGAGCCUUCUCUGACGUGGCUCUUGCAUUUUGGAACAUCUUACCAGCUCAGCAGGUACCUGGAGGAACUUUCACUGCUUUUAGAAGCUUGCUUAACUAGGAAAACUACCAAGGAACAUGAGGACUGUAGGCUAUACUGGGAACCUAGACAACAGAUCAGAAAGCUGUGGCAAACCAGGAAAAAUGCAUCUUUGUGUCCUUUUAGUAGCCAUGAAAAUGUGUCUUUUUAAAAAAAUACAUAUGAAUAUGUAUAUGUCUAUAUAUCUUUGUUGCCAACAAUGGAAUGUACACAUGCAUAACUAAUACAAUGUAUAUUUUAAAAGUUUAUUUGACACAGAGGAAAAAGAGGAAUGAAAGUUAUAUCUCAGGUGGGCAGAAGAAAUUUCUUAUUGCUGCCAAAGAUUUGUAUUUAUAAAUUAUAACUGCCCUCCAUAUUUUCUGUUAUUCGUAUGUAUACAUAUUGAAUACAUAUUCAUAUAUAUUUAAGCAUGCAUAAAGAUUGCUUAUAUUCAUUCCCAAGCCAGCAAAACCAAAAUGAAGAAGGGAUUUAGUUUUCUGGGCCACAAGAAAUAUCCCCGAAGAGCAGCAAGCUCCAUAUUUGAUGACUGCUAAAAUAGUUGGUAAUUCAGUUGUGUUGAACACCAUCAGUUUGUUCAGAUGUUUCCUACAUCAUAUCAUUUUACAUUUUGCAUAUCCAUUUGACUAAUGUAUUGUUAUUAAUAUUUUUCUAUAAAAGUAAAAUAUAUUAAACUUGGAGCUUUUGUUACUCCAUAUUAUUUAGCUCUAAAAGAUCAAAUUUUAUUUUUGUCUGUCUGCAUUUAAAUAAUAUAUCUUUAAUGUCUACUUAACCUUCUGUUAACCUGUUCCAUUAAAAUUCUUCAGACACACUGUA